rnacentral:rRNA from 1 species
AUUGAACGCUGGCGGCAGGCCUAACACAUGCAAGUCGAACGAGUGGCGGACGGGUGAGUAAUGUCUGGGAAACUGCCCGAUGGAGGGGGAUAACUACUGGAAACGGUAGCUAAUACCGCAUACCAUCGGAUGUGCCCAGGUGGGAUUAGCUAGUAGGUGGGGUAACGGGUCACCUGGGCGACGAUCCCUAGCUGGUCUGAGAGGAUGACCGGCGACACGGGAACUGGGACACGGGCCAGACUCCUGCGGGAGGGAGCAGUGGGGAAUAUUGCACAAUGGGCGCAAGCCUGAUGCAGCCAUGCGGCGUGUAUGAAGAAGGCCUGCGGGUUGUAAAGUACGUUCUGCGAGGAGGCGGUACUCGCAGAAGAAGCACCGGCUAACUCCGUGCCAGCAGCCGCGGUAAUUC